UACAGAGGGUGCGAGCGUUAAUCGGAAUUACUGGGCGUAAAGCGUGCGUAGACGGUUAUGUAAGUCAGGUGUGAAAGCCCCGGGCUCAACCUGGGAAUUGCAUUUGAGACUGCAUAGCUAGGGUGCGGAAGAGGGAAGCGGAAUUUCCGGUGUAGCGGUGAAAUGCGUAGAUAUCAGGAAGAACACCCGUGGCUAAGGCGGUUCUCUAGUACGGUACUGACGCCUGGAGGCGCGAAAAGCUAGGGGAGCGAACAGG
rnacentral:rRNA from 1 species